rnacentral:lncRNA from 1 species
CAAAUACCUUGUGGAUUGAUGAAAAUAAUGAUGAUAUCAUUCUGCCAGGUGAGCACAUCCAGGUGUCAGGCCAGGGUGUGCUCAGUGGUCCAAGAGCCUCAGGCCACACCUGUUUGACCUCGCUGUGAUACUGUUGGCCUACUUAUGCUACUUUUCUGACUCAAUUCAGGAAGCAGCAGGGACGUUACCAGGACCUGGCUUUCUGGGCUGCUGCGAUGGUGUAACGCCUUGAUCACACCGAUAGAUCUGUGCCUCGACACAAUCCUGUCUCGGAGGUUCUACGGACAAUUUCUUCAACCUCAUGGUUUGGGUUUUUGCUCUGAUAUGCACUGUCAACUGUGGGACCUUUAUAUAGACAGGUGUGAUGCCUUUACAAAUCAUGUCCAAUUGAAUUACCUUUACCAAUGGUGGACUCUAAUCAAGUUGUAGAAACAUUUCAACGAUGAUCAAUGGAAACAGCAUAGACUAGUGCUCAAUGUCGAGUCUCAUAGCAAAGGGUCUGAAUACUUAUGUAAAUAAGGUAUUUCUGUUCAUAAUUUUUUAUAAAUGUUCAAAAAAAUUCUAUAAACCUGUGUUCGCUUUGUCAUUAUGGGGUAUUGUGUGUAGAUUGCAGAGGAUUUUUCCCCCCCAAUCCCUUUUAUAAUAAAGCUGUGACAU